rnacentral:rRNA from 1 species
AAUUUUCGGCAAUGGGUGCAACCCUGACCGAGCGACGCCGCGUGAGUGAAGAAGGCCCUCGGGUUGUAAAGCUCUGUUGUAAGGGAAGAACCGUAGUCAUAGGGCAUGCUUACUACCUGACGGUACCUUACAAGAAAGCCACGGCUAACUACGUGCCAGCAGCCGCGGUAAUACGUAGGUGGCGAGCGUUAUCAGUAAUUAUGGGGCGUAAAGGGAGCGCAGGCGGAUUAUUAAGUCUGAGGUUAAAUCUUGGGGCUCAACCGCAUGAUGCCUUAGAAACUGGUAGGCUAGAGUGCAGGAGAGGUGAGUGGAAUUCCAUGUGUAGCGGUAAAAUGCGUAGACCUAUGGAGGAACACCGGUGGAGAAGGCGGCUCACUGGCCUGUAACUGACGCUGAGGCUCGAAAGCGUGGGGAGCAAAUA